rnacentral:rRNA from 1 species
GUGGCGCACGGGUGAGUAACGCGUGGAUAAUCUGCCCUGUGAUCUGGGAUAACACUUCGAAAGCGGGACUAAUACCGGAUGUGACAGACUGGUGGCAUCACUGGUUUGUCAAAGUUGGGGACCGCAAGGCCUGACGCUUCAUGAUGAGCCCGCGGCCUAUCAGGUAGUUGGCGGGGUAACGGCCCACCAAGCCUAAGACGGGUAGCUGGUCUGAGAGGACGACCAGCCACACUGGAACUGAGACACGGUCCAGACACCUACGGGUGGCAGCAGUCGAGAAUUUUUCACAAUGGGGGAAACCCUGAUGGAGCGACGCCGCGUGGGGGAUGAAUGGCUUCGGCCCGUAAACCCCUGUCAUUUGCGAGCAAAGCGCAUUAUUUAAAAGAUGAUGUGUUGAUAGUAGC